GGAAGCUCAGCGCGGAGGCCCCCGAGGGAGGUGGUGGCGUGGUGAGACUGUAAAAACAAAGACACAUGCUUCUCGUUCACUGUGCCCAGGGCCUAAGAGAGUGUCCAGCAGCUAGUGGGCGCUCCACCGAGUAGUUGAAUUAAUGUUGUGUUAUGUCCAAGAUAACACGAAAGAACCUGGUAGCGCGGCGGGGAAGAUUUCGGCGCUAGAGGAUUUGCCUGCAUAACCUUACUUCUUAAUUAUUAUUUUUACCAUAAUAUGCCACGCCAGUGAAGGCAACAAGUCAGGGAGGGCAUUAACCUCAUUUUACACUUGGCUUUUUGAGGAGUGCAUCACCAGUUUCUCCAUUUUAGGCCUGACUUGCCCAGGACAGAGUCACAACUCUAACGCAGUAUUUGAAAGCUUCAGGUAUUUCCUACCCCUGGCAUGAACUGUACAAACAAGGCCCAGGAUUUUUUCGUGUAAAUCCUCAUCUGGAGCUAGUAACACGUGUCCUGAAUCCCUGGUUGUACGGGGCCAGUUCCUUCUCCUUCCCAGGAGCAAGGAGGAAAAUACUGGCUCUUUUUUAUUUUUAUUUUUAUUUGAGACAGAGUUUUGCUCUCUCACCCAGGCUGAAGUGCAGUGGCGCAAUCCCCGCUCACUGCAAACUCCGACUCCAGGGUUUAAAGGAUUCUCCUGCCUCAGCCUCCUAAGUAGCUGGGAUUACAGGCAUGCACCACCAUGCCCAGCUAAUUUUUGUAUUUUUAGUAGAGACAGGGUUUCACCAUGUUGCCCAGGCUGGUCUUGAACUCCUGACCUCACUCAAGUGAUCUGCCCACCUCGGACUUCCAAAAUGCUGGGAUUACAGGCGUGAGCCACUGCACCCAACCAGUACUG
rnacentral:lncRNA from 1 species